rnacentral:rRNA from 1 species
CACGUAGGGCGCAAGCGUUGUCCGGAAUUAUUGGGCGUAAAGAGCUCGUAGGCGGUUUGUUGCGUCGGCUGUGAAAUCCCCGAGGCUCAACCUCGGGUCUGCAGUCGAUACGAGCAAACUAGAGUGUUGCAGGGGAGACUGGAAUUCCUGGUGUAGCGGUGAAAUGCGCAGAUAUCAGGAGGAACACCGGUGGCGAAGGCGGGUCUCUGGGCAACAACUGACGCUGAGGAGCGAAAGCGUGGGGAGCGAACAGG